UACGUAGGGUGCGAGCGUUAAUCGGAAUUACUGGGCGUAAAGCGUGCGCAGGCGGUUUUUCAAGACCGAUGUGAAAUCCCCGGGCUUAACCUGGGAAUGGCAUUGGUGACUGGAAGGCUAGAGUGUGUCAGAGGGGGGGUAGAAUUCCACGUGUAGCAGUGAAAUGCGUAGAGAUGUGGAGGAAUACCGAUGGCGAAGGCAGCCCCCCUGGGAUAACACUGACGCUCAUGCACGAAAGCGUGGGGAGCAAACAGG
rnacentral:rRNA from 1 species